rnacentral:rRNA from 1 species
GACGAACGCUGGCGGCGUGCUUAACACAUGCAAGUCGAACGGAAAGGCCCUGCUUUUGUGGGGUGCUCGAGUGGCGAACGGGUGAGUAACACGUGAGUAACCUGCCCUUGACUUUGGGAUAACUUCAGGAAACUGGGGCUAAUACCGGAUAGGAGCUCCUGCUGCAUGGUGGGGGUUGGAAAGUUUCGGCGGUUGGGGAUGGACUCGCGGCUUAUCAGCUUGUUGGUGGGGUAGUGGCUUACCAAGGCUUUGACGGGUAGCCGGCCUGCGAGGGUGACCGGCCACAUUGGGACUGCGAUACGGCCCAGACUCCUACGGGAGGCAGCAGUGGGGAAUAUUGCACAAUGGGCGGAAGCCUGAUGCAGCAACGCCGCGUGCGGGAUGACGGCCUUCGGGUUGUAAACCGCUUUCGCCUGUGACGAAGCGUGAGUGACGGUAAUGGGUAAAGAAGCACCGGCUAACUACGUG